UGUGAGCGUGUGUGUGUGUGUGUGUGUGUGGGAGCUGAGGUUGUGCGGCUGUGUGAAGUGAGCAAUGGGGAGCCGCGCUGCCCCUUCUGUUUGCAUGCUAAUGCUGCGGCAGAGAUGGAGGAUGUGGGAGAGGAGGGGAAAAGGCCAGAGCCCACCCACACACACACACACACACACACACACACACACACACACAGACACACAAAAUCACAACCUGCGCUUCACGCUUCUCCUGGUGGAGAAUCAGAGAACAGCCGGGCUCUGUUGCUGCCUCACUGCAGAGCAUCAGGAGGAUCAAACCCACCGAAUCCGCCAUCAAUCAUCGACUCUGGAGGAGAAUUUGAGAGACGUGACACUUACAGUAAAAGUAGUAAUUUGGUGUUAAAACACUUCAAUUUGCAACAUAAACGUGUAUAUGGGAACGUCACUUAGUAGGACCGUGAUGGAGCAGGUGGAGGUGGGAGUCAGGUGAACAGGUGGAGAGCAGAUGUGAAGCCAAAAUAACGUGUUUAUUUGACUCUUUCACAAUAAAAGCAGAAAAGUGCCCUCCCUGACCGACUCAAUAAAAAAAACCUGACGAUAAACUACAAAAGCAAAAGACAAGUGUUUGUAGUGUUUUGUUAAAAAUUGCAUCCCAGAUAACGGAGUGUUAUUAUGGGCCGUUUGAAGUGACACCAGCUCCUCUUUUAGAUGAAACGCGGAGCCGGCGAUGAAAGGUUAAUGAUGCCACCAGCGAGGAGUUCGACCCCCCCCCCCCCCAUCCCCCUCCCCAUCCCCCGCCCCCCCAGGCAGUGGUAAUGACAGGUUUGGACUGCAUGUCAGGGACCACCUGCGGAGCUCCAGGCCAGGGCGCCAGCCUCCCCCUGCAGCCCGGGGCGCGGACCUCUCUGCCCGGGAGUCUCCAGCUGCCUGCUGGAUCGUGAUUGAAUUGCCUAUUUUUUGAAUGUUCAUGGUCACAUUUAAAUAGGUCUAAUUCAGUGAGGCUUCGUUGAUUUACGUUGUUUAUGCGAUCAAAAACCUGUAAACAGUCUGGAGAUUUGGGGUUGUUACAGGACAGAACUCACAGGGACAUAGAAAUGAUUUUAAAAGAACUGGAAGCAAUAACGGAUGAGAUAGUGCUGACAUUGUUAUUGAUUUUCUUUCGAGGUUCCCGCUGGAGCUGUAAAGACUGAAAACAGGCAAGAAUCCAAAACCGCAACACCGACAGCAGCAUUCAGCUCUGUAAGCUGCACAGAACAGCCCACGACACGAGUCACUUGUUAGACUAUAACCCCAGACUGCGUGUGAGACGUGGACGUAGUCAUGGUGACGCCGUCCCUCGGUUGGCGGAACGCUGUGUGCAGCAGCGGCGCUCCUCUGCUGCAGUUUGAUGGAUGGUUGCACCGCGGAGAGGCAGCGGCGCCGUAAUGGCGACCGACCUGCGGCCGACCUCUCAAAGAACCUGCAGCUUCUGUUCACGUCUGCAGCCGAAAAGGAAAUAUUUGGAAACCAAACCAACAAAGACCACCUCAGUGAAGUGUUGUGGACCGUUGAUAACAAACAAAAACGGACUCCCUCUCCGUGCCAUCCAGCCUGCUUUUGGCUUCCUUCACAUAUAGAAUCUGAGUCUGUGUACAUCAUGUUAGCAGGAGGCUCGGGAGAAGAAAAAACCCCAGAAAAGGCCUUUGUGAUAAAAAUAAUACAGAUUACGUGAGAAGGUAGCCAUGGAUACAACAUCCAGUCCCGCUUGUCAGUGCAUAUAUGGAGAGAUUUAUGUGUUUCCACCGCCAGUAGUUGUCUAAAUGCUGUGUGUUGUCAGAUUGCUGCAGUGUAGGUGGAUCCUGACCUCAGGAAGUCACAGCGUUACAUAAGCGCGAUGGAUUUCAAUCACAGCCUCCGUUUUCAUAAUUAACGCUGAUGCUGAAAGGUUUCUCUCGAAAACGACCGGCAGGACCGUCGACCAGCGAUCAGGUGGCGAUUUCAUCACUGAAUUUUGCCUGUCGCCGCGUUGUUUUGCGGCGCGGACGCAUCGCCUCGGAGCGAUCCAGGACGGUUCUGCCUUUUACGACCUCCUUCGUCACGGAUGACCUUUCCGCUCAUGUUCCCCUCACACGGAGCACUCGCCGCUCGGGGGGG
ensembl:lncRNA